GCCUUGUAGCGGGGGAUAACUAUUGGAAACGAUAGCUAAUACCGCAUAACAAUGGAUGACACAUGUCAUUUAUUUGAAAGGGGCAAUUGCUCCACUACAAGAUGGACCUGCGUUGUAUUAGCUAGUAGGUGAGGUAAUGGCUCACCUAGGCGACGAUACAUAGCCGACCUGAGAGGGUGAUCGGCCACACUGGGACUGAGACACGGCCCAGACUCCUACGGGAGGCAGCAGUAGGGAAUCUUCGGCAAUGGGGGCAACCCUGACCGAGCAACGCCGCGUGAGUGAAGAAGGUUUUCGGAUCGUAAAGCUCUGUUGUAAGUCAAGAACGGGUGUGAGAGUGGAAAGUUCACACUGUGACGGUAGCUUACCAGAAAGGGACGGCUAACUACGUGCCAGCAGCCGCGGUAAUACGUAGGUCCCGAGCGUUGUCCGGAUUUAUUGGGCGUAAAGCGAGCGCAGGCGGUUUGAUAAGUCUGAAGUUAAAGGCUGUGGCUCAACCAUAGUUCGCUUUGGAAACUGUCAAACUUGAGUGCAGAAGGGGAGAGUGGAAUUCCAUGUGUAGCGGUGAAAUGCGUAGAUAUAUGGAGGAACACCGGUGGCGAAAGCGGCUCUCUGGUCUGUAACUGACGCUGAGGCUCGAAAGCGUGGGGAGCGAACAGGAUUAGAUACCCUGGUAGUCCACGCCGUAUACGAUGAGUGCUAGGUGUUGGAUCCUUUCCGGGAUUCAGUGCCGCAGCUAACGCAUUAAGCACUCCGCCUGGGGAGUACGACCGCAAGGUUGAAACUCAAAGGAAUUGACGGGGGCCCGCACAAGCGGUGGAGCAUGUGGUUUAAUUCGAAGCAACGCGAAGAACCUUACCAGGUCUUGACAUCCCGAUGCUAUUUCUAGAGAUAGAAAGUUACUUCGGUACAUCGGUGAC
rnacentral:rRNA from 1 species